rnacentral:rRNA from 1 species
AGCGAACGCUGGCGGCAGGCUUAACACAUGCAAGUCGAGCGGGCAUCUUCGGAUGUCAGCGGCAGACGGGUGAGUAACGCGUGGGAACGUACCCUUCGGUUCGGAACAACUCUGGGGAACUGGAGCUAAUACCGGAUACGCCCUUAUGGGGAAAGGUUUACUGCCGAAGGAUCGGCCCGCGUCUGAUUAGCUAGUUGGUGGGGUAACGGCCUACCAAGGCGACGAUCAGUAGCUGGUCUGAGAGGAUGAUCAGCCACACUGGGACUGAGACACGGCCCAGACUCCUACGGGAGGCAGCAGUGGGGAAUAUUGGACAAUGGGCGCAAGCCUGAUCCAGCCAUGCCGCGUGAGUGAUGAAGGCCUUAGGGUUGUAAAGCUCUUUUGUCCGGGACGAUAAUGACGGUACCGGAAGAAUAAGCCCCGGCUAACUUCGU